GCAACACUCGCGGCCGGUGGUGCCGUCGGAGCGGUCGCGACGACGGCAUAAUAGGGAACACGGUGAAGCGUACCCAACAGGGAGCGAGUCCGUGGCUGCCCCCGCAACUGUGAGCGCUGAGCGUCAUCCACACGGCCACUGGCAUUGCUGGGAAGGCUGGAUGAGACGCCGGGACGCGCGAGCCAGGAGACCUGCCACCGCCCUGAAACCUGU
rnacentral:ncRNA from 1 species